rnacentral:rRNA from 1 species
AGAACGAACGCUGGCGGCAUGCCUAAUACAUGCAAGUCGAACGAACUCUUCGGAGUUAGUGGCGUACGGGUGCGUAACGCGUGGGAAUCUGCCCCUUGGUUCGGAAUAACAGUUGGAAACGACUGCUAAUACCGGAUGAUGACGAAAGUCCAAAGAUUUAUCGCCAAGGGAUGAGCCCGCGUAGGAUUAGCUAGUUGGUGAGGUAAGCGCUACAACGAGACGACGACUUACGACUGGUCUGAGAGGAUGAUCAGUCACACCGAG